AUGUCGGUGACAGGAGGGCAGUGCUGGUGGGGCCGGAGGGGCGGCAGGGAGGAGCAGGUCUGGGUGCUGCCGCCUGCUCUGGCGCCCCUUCCCCACGCCCAGCCCUGCCCCAGUGUCCCUCUCCCCGCAGUUCGGGGAGUCCCAGCAGCUGCGGAUGGUGCGGAUCCUGCGCAGCACCCUCAUGGUGCGAGUGGGUGGCGGCUGGAUCGCCCUCGACGAGUUCCUGGUGAAGAACGACCCCUGCAGAGUGAAGGGAAGGACCAACCUGAAGAUCAACGAGAAGUACCUGUCCUCGGACGUGUUCGGAGCCGCCGCCAGGUGCGCCGGGGCCCAGUCGGCCGCCUCCUCCAAAGUGCUGUCCCCGAGCCGCUCCAACUCCAGCCUCAGCCUCUACAGCAGCGCCUCGGCCCCCAGCAGCCCCCUGGCCAGGAAGGUACGGACCACGGAGCCCCCCCUGCGGUCCCGAGCCCCCCAACCUGCCCUCCACGGGCUCUGACCCUCAUCCUCAUCCUCACCGUCCCCAGUCGGUGCUGCGGAGGACGCGCUCCGGGGACCGUUGUCCGCGCUCCCGGGGCUCGGGGCUGCCCGACGGAGCCGAGCUGCAGUUCAGCGCGGCUGAGGAGAGCCUGCCUGUGGCACCGCCAGAGCCGCCCGAGGGGUCCCCUCCGGAGCGCUGCAGCCCCUGCCGCUGAGCCCCGCGCCCGCCCUGCGCCCAGCACCCUCGGCCGGCCCCACUCAGGACCCUCCUGCACGGGGCCGCGCCCCCCGCGGGUCUCCGGCCCGGCGCUGCGGCCCCCCGAGCGGGGCUGAGCUGGACGGCCGGCACCGACCGCGCCGCCGGGGCCCGUUCCAGAGGAUAUGCAAGCAUCACCUCCCGACGCCCAGCGAGCCCCCGGGCUCCGCUCCGAGCGCCCGGGGCUGCGGGACCAGCCGGGCACCCCCCGCCCUCCUCCCGUGCCCCCGGUACCCCCGGCACCGGGCCUCGCUCACGGGGGUGCCCACGGGGCCUCCCCCGCCCCGGCGGGAGGCGGCCGGGCUCGGUACCCGGCACCGGGAGCCCCCAUUCUGGUGCUAACCCUCACUCCUCGGCCUUGGGGGUGCUCCGGCCGCCCCCUGCCUCGGGGUCCAGUCCCGUCCCGCCGGCGGCACCGGGGGCAGCGGGACCCCCGCCCCACCGCCGCAUGCCCGCGCCACCCCCGCUAACCGGAGAGCAGUAGAGCUGAAUGUAACCCCGGCCGGGCGCGCCCGCCGCCACAAUAAACUGUAGUGAGG
rnacentral:lncRNA from 1 species